CGCUAAGGUACCCAAGUGUCCGCUCAUCAGAGACCACAAAAGGCGUUGGUACCUCCAGACAGCAGGACGGUGGCCAUGGAAGUCGGAAUCCGCUAAGGAGUGUGUAACAACCCACCUGCCGAAUCAACUAGCCCUGAAAAUUGAUGGCGCUUAAGCGUCGUGCCUAUACUCCGCCGUUGGGGCAAAUGCGAAGCCUCGACGAGUAGGUGGGCGUGGGGGUUGUGACGAAGCCGAGGGCGUAAGCCCGGGUAGAACGGCCCCUGGUGCAGAUCUUGGUGGUAGUAGCAAAUACUCAAAUGAGAACUUUGAGGACUGAAGUGGGGAAAGGUUCCAUGUGAACAGCAGUUGGACAUGGGUUAGUCGAUCCUAAGCCAUAGGGAAACUCCGUUUUAAAUGUGCACUUGUGCACUAUCAGGCGAAAGGGAAGCCGGUUAAUAUUCCGGCACCUGGAUUUGGAUUCUCCACGGUAACGUAACUGAACUCGGAGACGACGGCGGGGGCCCUGGGAAGAGUUCUCUUUUCUUCUUAACUGGCCGUUACCCUGGAAUCGGAUUGCCCGGAGCGAGGGUUCUGCGUCAGGGAAAGCCUCCUAAGUCUUGGGAGGUCCGGUGCGCUUUCGACGGCCCUUGAAAAGCCGGGGGCGCGUUUGAUGUUCUUUCCUGGUCGUACCCAUAACCGCCUCAGGUGUCCCAGGUCAAGAGCCUCUAGUUGAUAGAACAAUGUAGAUAAGGGAAGUCGGCAAA
rnacentral:rRNA from 1 species